rnacentral:rRNA from 1 species
UAUCAAUAAGCGGAGGAAAAGAAACCAACAGGGAUUGCCCUAGUAACGGCGAGUGAAGCGGCAACAGCUCAAAUUUGAAAUCGGCCCUCCGGUCGAGUUGUAAUUUGUAGAGGAUGCUUCUGGGCAGCGGCCGGUCUAAGUUCCUUGGAACAGGACGUCAUANAGGGUGAGAAUCCCGUAUGUGACCGGCCCGCACCCUCCACGUAGCUCCUUCGACGAGUCGAGUUGUUUGGGAAUGCAGCUCUAAAUGGGAGGUAAAUUUCUUCUAAAGCUAAAUACUGGCCAGAGACCGAUAGCGCACAAGUAGAGUGAUCGAAAGAUGAAAAGCACUUUGGAAAGAGAGUUAAACAGCACGUGAAAUUGUUGAAAGGGAAGCGCUUGCAACCAGACUCGUCGGCGGUGUUCCACCGGUCUUCUGACCGGUCUACUCUCCGCCGGCGGGCCAACAUCGUCUGGGGCCGCCGGAUAAGACGUCGGGAAUGUAGCUCCUCGGAGUGUUAUAGCCCUUCGUGAUGCGGCGCGCCCCGGGCGAGGUCCGCGCUUCGGCAAGGAUGUUGGCGUAAUGGUUGUCAGCGGCCCGUCUUGAAACACGG